GUGAGGAAUAUUGGGCAAUGGGCGCAAGCCUGACCCAGCCAUGCCGCGUGCAGGAAGACGGUCCUAUGGAUUGUAAACUGCUUUUAUACGGGAAGAAACACUCCCUCGUGAGGGAGCUUGACGGUACCGUAAGAAUAAGGAUCGGCUAACUCCGUGCCAGCAGCCGCGGUAAUACGGAGGAUCCAAGCGUUAUCCGGAAUCAUUGGGUUUAAAGGGUCCGUAGGCGGCCUUAUAAGUCAGUGGUGAAAUCCCAUCGCUCAACGAUGGAACUGCCAUUGAUACUGUAAGGCUUGAAUAAUUGUGAAGUAACUAGAAUAUGUAGUGUAGCGGUGAAAUGCUUAGAUAUUACAUGGAAUACCAAUUGCGAAGGCAGGUUACUAACAAUUGAUUGACGCUGAUGGACGAAAGCGUGGGGAGCGAACAGGAUUAGAUACCCGAGUAGUCC
rnacentral:rRNA from 1 species